AGUUUAACGGCCGCGGUACUCUGACCGUGCGAAGGUAGCAUAAUCACUUGUUCUUUAAAUGGGGACUUGUAUCAACGGCAUCACGAGGGCCAUACUGUCUCCUUUUUCCAAUCAGUGAAACUGAUCUUCCCGUGAAGAAGCGGGAAUUAACCUAUAAGACGAGAAGACCCCAUGGAGCUUUAAACCCAACAACAAGUCUAAAUAAAUAUACCCUAAAAAUUAAUGACACCUGAACUGUUGGUUUUAGGUUGGGGUGACCGCGGAGUAUAAACUAACCUCCACGACGAACGGGACUAAACCCUUAUCUACGAGCCACCGCUCUAAGAAUCAGCACACUGACUUCUAAUGAUCCGAUAUUCGAUCAACGAACCAAGUUACCCUGGGGAUAACAGCGCUAUCCAUUUCAAGAGCUCCUAUCGACAAAUGGGUUUACGACCUCGAUGUUGGAUCAGGGUAUCCUAGUGGUGCAGCCGCUACUAAAGGUUUGUUUGUUCAACAAUUAAAACCCUACGUGAUCUGAGUCCAG
rnacentral:rRNA from 1 species